rnacentral:rRNA from 1 species
AAAACAUUGCUUUUAGAUUAUAUAUUAAAAGUAAAUCUGCCCAGUGAUAUAGUAAUAACAUAAUAAUUUAACGGCCGCGGUAUCCCUGACCGUGCUAAGGUAGCGCAAUAACGUGCCUCUUAAUUGGGGGAUAGUAUGAAUGACUUAACAAGAAAAUAUCUGUCUCUUAUGUAAAUCACGAAAUUUAGGUUUAGGUGAAAACGCCUAAAUUCUAUACAAAGACAGAAAGACCCUAAAAGCUUAUAUUAUAAUACUAUAUAAGUAAAAAAAUAUUUAAUUGGGGCGAUAUAAAGUUUAAAACACUUGUAAAUAUAUAGAGAAAUAGCUCAAAAUAUUUAUCCCAUAACAUAUAAGUAAGUUACUCUAGGGAUAACAGACUAAUACUUCUUAAGAGCACACAUCAACAGAAGUGCUUAGUACCUCGAUGUUGGCUUAAGGAUCCUAUUUUGUGCAGAAGCAAAACAAGGGGGUUUGUUCAACCUUUAAACCCUUACAUGAUCUGAGUUC